GCAUUGCAUAGCGGUAGAGCAUGAGACUCUUAAUCUCAGGGUUAUGGGUUUGAGCCCCAUGUUGGGCA